rnacentral:tRNA from 1 species
GCCGGUGUGGCGGAAUUGGUAGACGCACCCGACUCAAAAUCGGACGCGAAAGCGUGGGGGUUCGAGUCCCCCCACCGGCACCA